CACACACAUACAGCCAGAUACACAUACACACAUACAGCCAGAUACACAUACACACAUACAGUCAGAUAUACACACACACUGACUCAAACACACACACAGAGUCAUAUGAAUUCACAUAGUUUAGCCACCCUCCUUACCUUUACAGAAGUGUGGCUUCCCUGUGGUCCAGUGGGAGCUGGAUGGCUGAGAUUGAUGGGGGUCUUCUUCUUCUUGGUCUGUAUUUCCUCCUGCUCUCCAUGUAUGCCUCCUCCUCCCCAGCGGCACUCUGUUAAUUGGGAGGAAGUGACCUCACAACACUUCCUCCCAGCAGGCAGGCAGACAGGGGCCCGGUCAGGAGCUCUGUUAAAGGGCCGGGGCCCCUG